GAUGAACGCUGGCGGCGUGCCUAAUACAUGCAAGUCGAGCGAACAGACGAGGAGCUUGCUCCUCUGACGUUAGCGGCGGACGGGUGAGUAACACGUGGAUAACCUACCUAUAAGACUGGGAUAACUUCGGGAAACCGGAGCUAAUACCGGAUAAUAUAUUGAACCGCAUGGUUCAAUAGUGAAAGACGGUUUUGCUGUCACUUAUAGAUGGAUCCGCGCCGCUUUAGCUAGUUGGUAAGGUAACGGCUUACCAAGGCAACGAUGCGUAGCCUACCUGAGAGAGUGAUCGGCCGCACUGGAACUGAGACACGGUCCAGACUCCUACGGGAGGCAGCAGUAGGGAAUCUGCCGCAAUGGGCGAAAGCCUGACGGAACAACGCCGCGUGAGUGAAAAAGGUCUUCGGAUCGUAAAACUCUGUUAUGAGGGAAGAACAAAUGUGUAAGUAACUAUGCACGUCUUGACGGUACCUAAUGAGAAAGCCACGGCUAACUACGUG
rnacentral:rRNA from 1 species